GUUAUUUUUUGUUUUUAGAUUAGUUGUUAUCCUUGUUUUGGUUGCACGAGGAAGCAAAGCAUUUCUACCUAUGCUUCCAUCUUGUCCGGACCUCCAGAAAUCUAUUCUCUUAACAUUCCUGGAAACCAGAAGUCUGAACUGAGUCUUACAGGGUUCAAAUCAGGAUUGCAGUUCUGUUUCUUCAUCUCUAAAAUGGAGAUAAUAAUGCAACAUCAGAAGAUUCUUCUCAGUACCAAGUGAGUUGAUUUAUUCAGUGUGUUUAAAAAUAUGUCUUAUAUAGAGUAAAUUCUCAGUACCUUCUAAUAUGAGAAUUACUAUUUAUUUGUAUUUUUAAAAUUUAUUAGUUGUUAUUGUUAUUAAAAUUGGGGAGCAGCCUGGUGUAAAGGGAUAAUAAUUGGACUAGAAACACAAGACUGCAGGGGUGCUGUGAGCUUUUCUGUCAGCUUUGUGGGCUUCGCCAAGUCCACUCUUCUUGGAGCUCACUUUCUUUAUCUAAGUUAAGUAUGGAAAUCGGAAUAGAAAGUCUUUGCCAGCCUUGGUUUUAAUGCUCGGGAAACCUACCUUUUGCUAGGGAGCAGCUGGUUUACACGGCAGUAUUAGCUCUAGUAUGUUUUCCCCUAAGGGAACAAUAAAUGGGCAAAAGGGGAAAUCUGAAAACAUUUUCACUGGGCAAAUUCUCUGGAGAGUACAGCAAAUACCUUGGCUUAUUUUCACAUUAGUUUCUUAUGUUAUACUCAGGUGGCUUAUCUUUUCUUUUUGAGUGCACUUAUAAUUGGAACAAAUCCAAUUAUUUUUCUUUUUUUUUGGCUCUUAUUCAUAUGAGGUAUAGAAAAAUAAAAAUGUUCUGGCACCCAUUUCAUUUGCUGAUGCUAUCAUCUGUACAAAAACAGCCCACUUAAAUCAUUCUUUUAGGUUUUAAAGAUGGCAUGUGUAAAUGAAAGAAUGAUUAUAUAAUGUGAUGUUUUCUUGUAUCUUAGCACAUUCUGAGAGCUGAAAUUCCGUCCCUGUUCUUAUUCUGCAAUUAUUCCCAUGAACUUUUCCUCUAAUGAGUUAUUUUUUAUGUGUCCACAUGGGGGAGCUUUUGAGACACUGGUUUGAACCACUUUCUCAACAACUUGAAUCUGAGAUGAUGGAGUGGAAUUCUCCAUAGUAGGGAGUGUUAAUAGGGCAAGCAAGACUGUUGUAAGAACUGACUUAGAUUUCCCCCAUGUUCACUGUCUAAUAUGAGGCCCUGGAACCAAUUAAUAAUUCUCUUCUAAAUGUAGUGGUCUGUGCAUAUUUUCUAGGAGAAAAAGGUAAAGCCAAAAAGGAAAAUGAAAAUUUAAGCUAAGUUCAGUGUUUUCUGGUUGCCCCAGUUAGAAGUACCUGGGGUGCUGGGGUGCGAAUGUGGGGACUGUCUCUUCAGGUGAAAUAGGGGAAGCCUCUGAAAUGAUCCCAAAUCUGUUCGCCCAUAGAAAAACAAAAACCUAACAAUGCAUUGGAAUAGAAAACAAUUUACACCUGGAGGGAGGAGAAGCAAGCAGGAAAGGCUCAGAUUAGGCCUGCUGUUCCUGGCUUCUAGCUUUGUUUGCUGUUUGAGGAAAACUCAGACAAAUAGAAAAUACUGUGUUGAGUGAAAUGAAAUCUGUUUCACAGGACCUUAACUGGCUUUAUUGGGGUCUUUCUGCUGAUGCCAGUUUUUGGGUAAUUAAAUAAACAUAUGGUUAAAAUAAACAUAUAAAAACAUAAAAAUAACCCAGUGGCAGCCCCAUAGAUGCAUGAGGGAGCAUCUUGAAUGGCUGCAGCUUUCCUCUGCCUGGUUUAUGUGAAAUUACCAGUGGUUAUCCCAGUGCUUUUUGAAUGCUUUGCUCAUGAGAUAAGAUUUUAACUGCACUUAAAAAUGAAGAUUCUAUAAGAAAAUCCAUACUGUCUGAUUUUUAGUGCUACUUAUAUAUUGACAAAAAUGUUUAGCCGCUUUUUUCUUGUGUAAAGUCUGUGGUGUAACUGGAUUAAUAUAAAUUGAUAUAAAAUUAAACAUACCGUCCUUUAUAAUGAAUUGAGAAAUAAGUAAAUAUUGUCUUCCUUCUCAUUGAAUUUUCCUCCCUAGGCAGCCAAGUAACAUCCUCUGCAGUUUGUGUUCAGCUCAUUGCUGUUCCUUUUCUCUAAUCUUUUUCUCGUCACUCAUUAGUUCUCAUAGUUUCAACCAUGAAGUCCAUUCCCAUCCUGGGAUGUCGUCACACACUCCAGCUGUACGUUUCCUCUUGUUCAUUGUCCAUUCCUACUUGGUUAUGAAAGUCAAAUUUAAUAAGUCAACCACCAAACGUCCUUUCAUUCUUUCGCCCCUUCCUUACCUCAGCUCACCAAUUUCCCAUUACUUUCCCAUUUCUGUUCUUCAACCACUGGUGUGUGAGACAUCUGGGCUUAAAAAUUUGGGAUCAUCUUUGACACUCACCUAUUUCAUAUUCUCUGCUCUUUCUGAAGUCUCUAAGACCACCGUUAGGAUCAAUGUCUUGCUAAAGGAGUUCAUGGGACUCAGAAUAACUAUUAUACUCGUGGUUAUGGUCUGUUGCAGUCAAAGGAUACAAAUUAAAAUGAGAAAAAAUAAAGAUGCAUUGGGCAAAGUCCAAGAGAAACCAGCUGCAAGCUUCCAAUAGUUCUUUUCCAGUGGAGUCACAUGGAUGCAUUUAAUUCUCUGAACAAUGAUGGGUGACAACAUACGCAAAGCAUUUUCAGCCAGGGAAGCUCCACUGAGCCUUGGGGUCCAGGAUUUUUACUGGGGGUCAGUUAUAUAGGCAUGCAGUACCAGCAUGACUUACGUCAGCUACUCAGGCUCCGGAUCCCCAGGGGAAAAAAACAGGCAUUCACCAUAAAUCACAUUGUGAGCAUAAAUUAUUUGACCCAACUGACACUGCACAGCCCAAGCCCUUAGGCAUGCUACACUUCUUACCAGGCAGAGGAUACUAAGGGCUCCAAGCUCCUCUCCCAGGACGAGUACUGAAGACAGGUCUUUUGAGAGACCGUGCAGGCUUUGAGCAGCCCAAAUCUGCUGAGUUUCCCUUACCUACACGUACAGUCUCCAAGCUAUGUGGUUGUUGGAAAAAAUGUGUAAGAGCACAUAAUAGGGUGUGAAACAGAUAUGUGUGUCUAGUUCUGUGAGGAUUAAAUGAGGUGUGGUUAACAUAUGCUGGACACAUCAAUACCAAAAGAAUGUUAGAUGAUAGCUUUUUGUGGUUGUAGUUAUGGUUAUUGUCAUCUCUGCCCUUUCCUAUCCAAUACCACUUCUGCCCUUCUAGUCUAAGACCUUAUUGCUUUCAUUUUGUAGUAUAUUAGCUUCCUAUGCCAGUGAACUUAGGAUGCUAUGCUGCACUAACAAACAAUCCCCCAAUCUGCGUGGCUUACAAAAACAAAGAAGUAUUUCUUCAUCCUGGUACCUGCUCAUUAUGUGUUGACCGCAACUCUCCUUCAAUUACCAUAGUUCUUCAGCCCAGAUGGGAGGAGCAGCCCCACUCUGGGAGAGUGUGGCAAAGAUGAAAGAAGGUACAGUGGAACCACACAAUGGCUCUCAAAGUUUUGCUUGGAAAUGGCACACAUUCCAUCUACUCCCAUUUUACUGUCUGAAGAAAGUCACCUAGCCAGGCCUGGGGCUAAUGAAUUAGGGUUAUACCAUAUUUUCUUGUGGUAAAUAUGUGAACACUGAUAUAAUCUCUCAACUUCCCAAGUGGCCUCCCUGCCUCCAGGCUCAGGCUACCCUUAGCACGCUCCAGUGUGGCUAGCCUGUUGGUUAUCGCCAAGUCUACAGCCUCAAGGCGCAACGUUGACAAAUUCUUCUUCUCCUUCCAUAAAAUUGCUUUAUUUCAUGGUCUUCUAUUGAUUCGUCACAUAAGCCAUUUGGUAAAGCUCAGUCACCCAUGAGUCUCCUGUAUUCCAGUGAAACCAGAAUAUUUGCAACACUAGGCACAUUUUAUCUUAGCACGUCUACACUAUGGCUCAUGACAUCCAUUCACUAAGGAUGAGAGUGCUUUUAAGAAGAUUACCAAUUCCUUUACCUUUAAAUUCUCCACAGACCCUGAGUGCCUUACUCAUACUCAUGUGUGACACAUGUGUUGAAUGAGUGGAGAAUAAAUGUUGCCCCAGUAUCACAGGGAAAUCCAGUGUUACUCAAUGACCAUGAUAGACAAGGCAAGGGGGUGCAGGGAGGCUGGAAUUGAACCCAUGAUUUUCUCACACCCCAAAUGUGGAGCAAGGUGUAUUUUUCUAAUUGACACAAAUGCACUCAAUGGAGUAGCAAUGGCCUUUCUUCCAGAAUCUUUGUAUAUUUAAAGAAGACCCCAUAUAGGACCUUUGUGUCUAAUUGUACAUAUGGAAAUCAUUACAGCAAUGGGAGAAGAAUGUUGUUUUGGCCCCGAUUUUCUGAAAUUUUCAAGUUCUAGUCCACUAAGUUAUCCACCUACUCAGUAUCCUUUGACUGUCUAUGACUCAGGACAUGUUCAUGAGAAGGGACCUCAUGCAGUAUUGGGCUUCAGG